rnacentral:rRNA from 1 species
GACGAACGCUGGCGGCGUGCUUAACACAUGCAAGUCGAACGGUGAAGCGCCUUCCUUUUUGGUGGGUGUGGAUGAGUGGCGAACGGGUGAGUAACACGUGAGUAACCUGCCCCCUUCUUCUGGAUAACCGCAUGAAAGUGUGGCUAAUACGGGAUAUUCUGGGUCUGUCGCAUGAUGGGUCUGGGAAAGAUAUUGUUUCGGUGGGGGAUGGGCUCGCGGCCUAUCAGCUUGUUGGUGGGGUGAUGGCCUACCAAGGCGGUGACGGGUAGCCGGCCUGAGAGGGUGGACGGUCACACUGGGACUGAGACACGGCCCAGACUCCUACGGGAGGCAGCGGUGGGGAAUAUUGCACAAUGGGCGCAAGCCUGAUGCAGCGACGCCGCGGGAGGGAUGGAGGCCUUCGGGUUGUGAACCUCUUUCGCCAGUGAAGCAGGCCUGCCUCGUUUGUGGGUGGGUUGACGGUAGCUGGAUAAGAAGCGCCGGCUAACUACGUG